rnacentral:rRNA from 1 species
AAAUGUCUAGAGGGACAGCCUCGUGUCAGCCGUAACGGAGGUAGAGCACUGGAUGAGCUAGGGGCGUUCCAACGCUACCGAACUCAACCAAACUCCGAAUGCCAUCACUGGACGGACGGGAGUCAGACUACGGGCGCUAAGGUCCGUGGUCAAAAGGAGAAUAGUCCAGACCGCCAGCUAAGGUCCCGAAUCGUGAGCUAAGUGGGAAAGGUUGUAGGGUCGCUCAGACAGCCAGGAGGUUGGCUUAGAAGCAGCCAUCCUUUAAAGAGUGCGUAACAGCUCACUGGUCGAGCGAGCCUGCGCCGAAAAUGUAACGGGGCUUAAGUUCACAACCGAAGCUGCGGACUUGCAUCGCAAGAUGUGAGUGGUAGGGGAGCAUUCUCUGUGCAGCGAAGGUAGACCGACAAGGACCGCUGGAGCGCAGAGAAGAGAUUAUGCCGGCAUAAGUAGCGAUAAACGAUGUGAGAAUCAUCGUCCCCGUAAACCUAAGGUUUCCUGGCCUAUGUUCGUCAGGUCAGGGUUAGUCGGUCCCUAAGCCGAGGCCGAAAGGCGUAGGCGAUGGCAAACAGGUCAACAUUCCUGUACCAUCAUGUCCGCGUUAUCAGCGAAGGGGGGACGCAGCAGGGUAGGCACCGCCGGGUCCCUGGAAUACCCGGUCUAAGCCCGUAGGCGGAGCGUGCAGGCAAAUCCGCGCGCUCAUUCCAAACGCCGAGAGGUGAUGGGGAGGCCGCAAGGCCACAAACGGACCGAUCCCACACUGCCGAGAAAAGCCUCGUAGCGAGUUGACAUGGUGACCGUACCGCAAACCGACACAGGUAGGUGGGUGGAAUACACCAAGGGGCGUGAGAGAACACUCCCUAAGGAACUAUGCAAUCUAACCCCGUAACUUCGGAAGAAGGGGUGCCUCGCGUACGUAAGGAGAUUUACUCUCUAAGCCGAACGAGGUUGCAAUAAAGUGGCUCUAGCGACUGUUUACCAAAAACACAGGACUCUGCGAACACGCAAGUGGACGUAUAGGGUCUGACGCCUGCCCGGUGCUGGAAGGUUAACCGGAGGGGUUAGCCGCAAGGCAAAGCUCCGAAGGGAAGCCCCAGUAAACGGCGGCCGUAACUAUAACGGUCCUAAGGUAGCGAAAUUCCUUGUCGGGUAAGUUCCGACCUGCAUGAAUGGCGUAACGACUGGAGCGCUGUCUCGGGGAGUGACUCAGCGAAUUUGUUGUUCCGGUGAAGAAGCCGGGUACCCGCAACUAGACGGAAAGACCCUGUGCACCUUUACUACAACUUGCCAUUGGAUGUUGGACGGGUAUGUGUAGGAUAGGUGGGAGGCUGUGAAGCGGAGGCGCUAGCUUUCGUGGAGC